AGAGUUUGAUCCUGGCUCAGGAUGAACGCUAGCGGCAGGCUUAACACAUGCAAGUCGAGGGGUAACAUUGUGCUUGCACAGAUGACGACCGGCGCACGGGUGCGUAACGCGUAUAGAACCUACCUUUUACAGAGGAAUAGCCUUUAGAAAUGAAGAUUAAUGCCUCAUAGUAUUGAGUAUUCGCAUGAAUAUUUAAUUAAAGAUUUAUCGGUAAAAGAUGGCUAUGCGUCCUAUUAGUUAGUUGGUAAGGUAACGGCUUACCAAGACAGCGAUAGGUAGGGGUCCUGAGAGGGAGAUCCCCCACACUGGUACUGAGACACGGACCAGACUCCUACGGGAGGCAGCAGUGAGGAAUAUUGGACAAUGGAGGAGACUCUGAUCCAGCCAUGCCGCGUGUAGGAAGAAUGCCCUAUGGGUUGUAAACUACUUUUAUACAGGAAGAAACACUGGUAUGUAUACCAGCUUGACGGUACUGUAAGAAUAAGGACCGGCUAACUCCGUGCCAGCAGCCGCGGUAAUACGGAGGGUCCGAGCGUUAUCCGGAAUCAUUGGGUUUAAAGGGUCCGCAGGCGGUCGAUUAAGUCAGAGGUGAAAUCCCAUAGCUCAACUAUGGAACUGCCUUUGAUACUGGUUGACUUGAGUCAUAUGGAAGUAGAUAGAAUGUGUAGUGUAGCGGUGAAAUGCAUAGAUAUUACACAGAAUACCGAUUGCGAAGGCAGUCUACUACGUAUGUACUGACGCUGAGGGACGAAAGCGUGGGGAGCGAACAGGAUUAGAUACC
rnacentral:rRNA from 1 species